rnacentral:rRNA from 1 species
UACGUAGGGAGCAAGCGUUUGUCCGGAAUCAUUGGGCGUAAAGCGCGCGUAGGUGGCCCUGUAAGUCCGUUGUGAAAGUCAAAGGCUCAACCUUUGAAAGCCGAUGGAUACUGCAGGACUAGAGUACGGAAGAGGCGAGUGGAAUUCCGUGGUGUAGCGGUGGAAUGCGCAGAUAUCGAGGAGGAACACCAAUAGACGAAGGCAGCUGCGCUGGGACGUUACUGACACUGAGGCGCGAAAGCGUGGGGAGAACAGG